rnacentral:lncRNA from 1 species
AUGGCGACCAAGACGAACCUCACGGUUAUGUGCGGAGCUGGAGGCGGCGCCCAUGUAAUACUCAGCACUUUAAGCAACAGUUAUCUCCAUACCUUCCUGUCCCCAAUGCCAGUGAUCUUGCAGCACAGGGCAAAAUCACGUUCUGGAAAGCCAAAGAAGGCUCUGGAAAAGAGAAAGCCAGAGCAUAAGGAGGAAGCAUACGCCAAAAGAGUCCACAGACACCACUGAUUCUAGAGGGGGUGCUCCGCAGGCUUUUUUUUCCAGACGCCUGACACAGCGCAGGGUUCGACCUCCCCAAACACUCAUGUGAGGCUCUGCCCAGAGGAGGCUGGACUUCAGGCACCCAAGAGUCAAUCAGCACUGCAGAAAAUUCCAACCAGCGAAAACCAUGUUUAACUUCACCUGCUCUUCCUGAGCAGGAAUCAAAAUUUUGAGUUAAAACACAGAUUUAACAGUAGUUCCUGCCUUGUUUAUAAUCAAAAAGGUUGUGUCUAGGCUAGCCGGGUGGUCCAAUAUUGGGUGCAAAACAGUAUUCCAUCCUGAUUUUUAACAUUUGACUGCAACCUAGUAAGUACUAUUGCUGUGUACAGACAAAAUGUUAUAAGUUGUCUAAAUAAAAAUAAAAACAGCAAUAAAGGAGAAAGUGUU